CGUCAUCCCGGUGCUGUACCAGCAGGUCAAGUGCUCGCGCACCGGCGGCGUGCGCUUCAGCCUCGCCGGCUCGCAGUACUUCCUGCUCGUCAACGUCCAGAACCUCGGAGGCAGUGGCUCCGUGGGGGCCGCCUGGGUGAAGGGCGACAGAACGAACUGGAUCCAGAUGUCCAGGAACUGGGGCGCCAACUGGCAAGCGCUCGCCGGGCUCGUCGGCCAGGGGCUGAGCUUCGCCGUCACCACCACCGGCGGGCAGUACAUUCAGUUCUGGAACGUCGCGCCUGGGUGGUGGCAGUUCGGACAGACCUACACCACGACCCAGAAUUUCUACUACUGAAACCUGCAAGCAGCAGCGAGUGCUUGGAUCUUCCUGUCGCCACAGCCAAUUCUUGUGGUUCGGUCAAAUGAAAUGCCAAGGCUGGGAGGUCCUCACCUCAUCAAGGCCUGCUGUUAAUUUAUUUCAACGUGUUGUACAUAUAUUUGUUCAACUUUAGAUAUUUCUUUCAAAGUUGUAGGUAUGUACGACACACACUAUAUAUAUACAUGUAUAUGAUUUCUGAGAACAUGCAUUUACACAUGAUGUUCCAUUCAGAAUCCUACUGGCCACGCACAACAGUAAAUCCAAAAAAUCCCGACGACCUAAGCCAUCAUACAUAAGCUCUACACCAUGAGACAUAUAAAUUAUUUCCUCCUGGCCCGAGACGGCAAGUGUCCGUCAGUUUUAAAAGUUCUGAAAUAAUCUUAUAUCCCACGGUAGCCGUCGGAGCUAGGAUAUGUCCGACCGUCCACAGACACCGUCGGCAGUAUAGUCGGUUAACGACCAUAACGGUGUUUAGUGGGCCCUUCACGCACUAUGUCUAACGACCGGCAUGCAGACCAUCAGACAUAAUAAGCUUAUCAUCGACGGACAUGUAGGCCAUCGGAUAUUAAUUUAAUUUAUGUUCGACGACUAUACGUGACUGUUGGAUAUUAUUUACUAACGUCCGAUAGCCUGCUUGUGGCUGUCGAACAUAAUGAAUUUCAGGGAGGUCAAAAUUCUUCAUGUUUUUAUUCAUUUCCAAAAUAUACAUUAUCGUAGCAAUAAAUAUUCAUAUUUCACAACCAUUACACAGCAUAUAUCCACAAACACAUGCAUCCACAACCACAGACACAUAGACAUACAUUUUCAUAUUCACAACACACACUUUGUCGACAAAACAACAUUCACAACCACAAAAAUAUAUCUGACAUCUCAUUCACAUGUCAGAAAGUUCCACACAUCGAACUUAGUCGAUCCACAUUGAUAUAGUUCCAAAUUCAUUUUAAUGUCAUAAUUGUCGGCGUUUCGAGACCGGGGGGUCCCUGGGCCGACGAGUGAAAUGUCGUCGCGUGCCCCAGCCCAGAUGGGUCGGCGCGAGACGGAGCGCGAAGGGGGGAAGAAAGGGCAGCCGGAGCGAGAGAGGGAGGUGGAAAUCCCGCGGCCUUCGUGUUUGUCCCGCGCCCAGGUCGGGUGCGCUUGCAGUAGGGGGUUACAAGCGUCCACGCGGGAGAGGGAGCGAGCGGCCUCACGCGAGCGCCUGUCCCGUCCUCUUCCCCGCGCGGCCAACCCUCUGUAAGAGGGCCCUGGUCCUUCCUUUUAUAGGCGUAAGGAGAGGAUCCAGGUGUACAAUGGGGGUGUAGCAGAGUGCUAACGUGUCUAGCGGAGGAGAGCUAGCGCCCUAAGUACAUGCCAUCGUGGCAGCCGGAGAGGUUUUGGCACCCGGUUCGUGUGGUGUCGUGGCCGUCGGAGGAGCGCUGAAGCCUGGCGGAAGGACAGCUGUCGGGGCUGUCGAGUCCUUGCUGACGUCCUCUUGCUUCCGUAAGGGGGCCGAGAGCCGCCAUCGUCAUAGAGCGUGCGGGGCGCCAUCAUUACUUUGUCUGGCGGAGCGAGCCAGAUGGGACACCGGUCUUGUUUCCCGUAGCCUAAGUCAGCUUGGGGUAGGGUAAUGAUGGCGCCUCCUGUUGACGUGGCCGGUCCGCGCCCUAGGUUGGGCGAUGUGGAGGCUCCUCCGAGGUCGAGGUCGAGUCUGUCUUCCGUGGCCGAGGUCGAGUCCGAGCCCCUGGGUUGGGCGAGGCGGAGACUAUCGGCUGAGGCCAGGGUCGAGUCCGAGCCCUGGGGUCGGGCGAAGCGGAGUUCAUCGUCUUCUGGGGCUGAGCCCGAGUCCGAGCCCUGGGUCGGGCGGAGCGGAGUUCGCCGUCUUCCGGGGCUGAGCCCAAGUCCGAGCCCUGGGUCGGGCGGAGCGGAGUUCGUCGUCUUUCGGGGUUGAGCCCGAGUCCGAGCCCUGGGUCGGGCGGAGCGGAGUUCGCCAUCUUCCGGGGCUGAGCCCAAGUCUGAGCCCUGGGUCGGGCGGAGCGGAGUUCGCCGUCUUCUGGGGCUGAGCCCAAGUCCGAGCCCUGGGUCGGGCGAAGCAGAGCUUCCUAUGGUGCCUGAGGCCGGGCCUGACUGCCUGUCAGCCUUACUCUGUCAAGUGGCACAGCAGUCGGAGCGGCGCAGGCGGCGCUGUCCUUCUGUCAGGCCGGUCAGUGGAGCAGCGAAGUGACUGCGGUCACUUCAGCUUUGUCGACUGAAGGGCGCGCGUCAGGAUAAAGGUGUCAGGCCACCUUUGCAUUAAAUGCUCCUGUGAUUUGGUCGAUUGGCGCGGCGAUUUGGUCAGGGUUGCUUCUUGGCGAAGACAGGGCCUCGGGCGAGCCGGAAGUAUGUUCAUCGCUGGAGGGGGGCCUCGGGCGAGACGAAGAUCCUCCGGGGUCGGCUGCCCUUGCCCGAGGCUGGGUUCGGGCGAGGCGUGAUCGAGUCCCUCGAAUGGACCGAUCCCUGACUUAAUCGCACCCAUCAGGCCUUUGCAGCUUUGUGCUGAUGGGGGUUACCAGCUGAGAAUUAGGAGCCUUGAGGGUACCCCUAAUUAUGGUCCCCGACAGUAGCCCCCAAGCCUCGAAGGGAGUGUUAACUCUCUCUUGGAGGCUUUUGUCGCACUUUUUUGCAAGGGGACCAGCCUUUCUCGGUUGCGUUUUGUUCCGGUGGGUGCGCGCGAGCGCACCCGCCGGGUGUAGCCCCCGAGGCCUUGGAGGAGUGGUUUGACUCCUCCGAGGUCUUAAUGCCUCGCGCAAUGCUUCGGCUGGUCUGGUCGUUCCCUCAUGCGAGCUGGCCGUAGCCCGGGUGCACGGUCGGGUCCCAAAUUCUCGGGCUGGUAUGUUGACGCUGUCAACGGUUUGGCCGGAGCCGGGUUUGCGAGAGCAGCCCCCGAGCCUUUGCACAGGGCAAGAGGACGGUCAGGGACAGACUCGACUUUUUUACAUACGCCCCUGCGUCGCCUUUCCGCAAGGAGGAGGGGGGAAAGCGCCAUGUUGCCCUCGGAGGGCACCGAACAUGGUGUCUCCGGUGAGCUGCUGGCGGGUAAUCCGAGUGGACGUCCGUGCCCCAUUUGUUAGGGGUCGGCUAGAGGCCCAGAGGCGCGCCCAAAAGUACCUGCGGGUGAUCUGCCGGACCCGGUCCCCUGUCGACGGGGUCCGAGGGCUCGAUGCCUCCCUCUGAUGGGAUUCCGUUACAAGAUCGUUCCCGCUGGUCUCGGAAAUGUCCUAGGGUACCUCGGGAGCGCAGCCCGAGCCUUGGUUAUGUAUCGAACGUACCCAUGGUCAUCCCUCGCUUUGUGUCUGAGGCGGUUGUGAACCCUUCGAGGGCCAACCUUCGAACCCCUGAUCAGUAGUGGGCACGGAGCCCGAGUGGCCAGAGGCGGCCGUUGAACCCUUCCGAGGGGCCAGCCUUCGAACCUCUGACCAGUAGUGGGUGUGGAGCCCACGCGCUCUGAGGCGGCUGUUAAACCCCUCCGAGGGGCCAGCCUUCGAACCUCUGAUCAGUAGGGAGGCUCGGAGCCUGCUUCCUUCACGGAGAAGGAUCCUUUUCGGGGUUUCCCCCUUUCUCGGUCCCUGUUGUAAGAGAGAGAAAGAGGAGAAGGAAAAAGGAUACAAAAUCGAAUGACGUGGCGUACCUUUCUUGACGCGGUCAUUAUGGCGAAGGCGAAGCGUCGCUCGCUUCCCCUACCAGAGGCGCCGCCUUUCCCGCCGCGGAGUUAAUGCGACGGGGCGUGCGUUUCGUGGGGCGGCCGUUGCGCGUGCGCGAGCCAUUCGAGGAAUGGAACACGGGCGCGUCGUCUUCACGCCGUGAGAGAGGGUUCUCUCACUGCCCCAGGAUGGGACGUAAGCCUGGCUGACGACAUGACCGCUGCUCCCGCCCGCCUGCCGGCCCAUUUUUGGCCGCACUGACCGUCGCACCAGGCUGGCGCUGCUGGGUCACGCGCUGGGUCGCCUCGAGUCGCGGUACUGAUUCCGCAAUCGAGGAGGCGCGGUGGUGGCGCGAGUGGCGGUGCAGUUGCUUGCACGUAGCGACCGGCGUGCCGGUUGCGUGACGCGUGGGCGUGGGCUUCCAUGUUGGGCGCGUUGGAAGUCGAAGAGGUGCGCCCACUUGGCGUGGUUGCAUGCCACCUGCAUGGCUGCCCACCCUUUCGCCCGUUGGUCUGGGCAAAAAGCGGAGGAAUGCUCGUAACCGCUGGGCAGUUGCAUGCACCGCGCGUGGCGGUUUGGCUUCUUCUGCUCUGGGCCAGCUUGCAUGACGUGUGGGACCCAGCCCCCGCGCCGUAGGGGGAGGACCUUGGAGCGUGUUGGAGAAGACUCAGCCCACGACGGCUGGGGACGCAAGUAGGGAGAGUCACCUUUAAAAGGAUGGUGACCCCCUUAAAAGGCGACCAUGUCUUCGCGCUCCCUCAUGCAUCGUGUCUUUCCACCUUCCGAGCCCCCGGAUGGGGGAUGCCCGCAGUCCUUCCGCCUUGUCGUUGGAGGAACGCAACUCCGUGGGAGUUGGUACCUUUCGGCCAUCGUUCGGCUUCAAGGAUUUUCAUCAGUCAGCCCGGCUGCAUCCCCUCGCCGGUGGUCACCCAAGACGGUGACCACCAGCCCCUGGGUGGGGAGAAGCAAGCCGGGCUACGAUCUUGGUCCCACCCUCAGCUUCAAGGAUGUUCAUCAUCCUCGCUGGGGUGGAGGUCGGGCUGAGCCGGAGCUCUACCUCCGCGCGGGUUCGUGGGUCAGCCUCUCCCUCAUCGUUCGAGGGAGAGGGCGCUCACUGGCCCUGUGAGAGGGGCGGACUUCGACAACGCGGGGCUGGUCGACGGCGGGCGUCGUCGGCUUCAGCGCGUUGGGUUCGCCGGCUUGGCUCCCGGAGCCCCCUUCUGCCACAAGGGCGGUUAUCACGCCGCGCGCUCGGGAGGACCGCCCAAGACGUCGCGCGCUGCCAGGGCGGCGUUCGUGUUCUGGGGCGGUCCUGCCUUUGCACCGGUACGGCGCCUCCACGCGGAGGUCGGUGCCCCGCGCGUCCGGGAGGAUCCGAGUGGGGAUCUGCCGGUGGGCUGACGGCCCCUGUCGUCGGUGCCGAGGCGGAGGCGGCUCGAGAAGUCCCCGUCGCCGACGGGAUCACCGCCACCAUCUGCGCUUCGGGCCUCCGGCUCUUUGUACUUGUCCUCGCCCCUCGAGCGUCGGCGUGGGCAAGGACAGGGUUGCAGCGGCGUUCGCCCCGAGGCCAUCGCUACUGCAGUUCUGCCACCCGUAGAGGGAGUCGUUGUCGCUGCUGCUGGAGCGGGCGACGGUGAGCCGUCCGUCGGUCUUCUGUCGCUCCGCAGGCCCCCCGAUCGAGUGGGGUUGUUCGUACCUGCGGAGGUGGAACCGGAGUUCCGUUUGUAAUGGCACCUUGAAUGUCGGUCUUUUGUUCAUUGUGGCUGUCAGGGCCUGAACAUGUAUGUAUUUUUGGCACAGAGCCGUGUUUUUUUCCUCAUUUUCGAGCACUAAGACUCGCCUGUUGGUUGUCUGAACUGCUUCACCAAGCGUGAGUCGCCACGUGCAAAGGUGACGAGUGAGGUAUCCGUAUCCCGGAGGCGUAGGAGUCCCUCGGCUCGGUCGGCCUUGCUGUCCGAGGCUUCUCUUGUUUGGUUAAAGGAACCCCUCGCCCGCUCUUCGAUGAGCCGAAGCCAGGGGUAGCGGUGUCAGCACGGACAGAGGCAGAGUUGGCUCGAAAAGAAGACUUGGUCGGCCGGAGCCUGGCCGGGUCGUCCGUUAGCGGGACCGACGCCGGAGUUGAUCUGCCGAGGCCUCGGGCCGGGCUGAUGUCUUCGAGGGACAGCUGGCCGAGGCCUCGGGGUGAUCGGCCGAGCCGCCUGCUCGAGCCGGAUUCUUGGGGGAGACCCUGGCGGCGAUGGCCCGGGUGUGAUGAUGAAGUCGUCCUUCAGAGUGGAGAUCCUCGGACCGCGUCGCCGUCUGAGGCUAGGCCGGACCUCGCUGAAGGUGUAGUUGACGCCGAGGGUGCUGCUGCUCCCUUCAACCAUCAAGAUCCGAGCCUGCAGGAUCGGAUUAUCUUGUAGCGUGUGUUUUCUGCGGCCGCCGAGGCCCAAACACAUCCUCGCCGUGUUGUAAAGCUGCGCUUCUUUUCCUCUCGUUUCGAGUAUCUGGACUUUUUCGUCGGUAACAGAAUUGUCUGUGCGAGCGAGAGUUGCUUUUCACGGAAGGUGAUGAGUGAGGUAUCCGUAUCCCGGAGGCAUAGGAAUCCCUCGGCUCGGUCGGCCUUGCCGCUUACGCGCACUCUUGCCCGUCCAUAGGGUUCUAUCACCGACGCAGUCGAGAAGGCUCGAAGAAUCGCUUCGACAGAGGAGCUUUCAAACGUGAAGACUUGUUCGGUCCGCGGAAUCACUUAUCCGAACGUGAGUUACUUAUCGUAGAAGGUGAUGAGUGAGGUAUCCGUAUCCCGGAGGCGUAGGAGUCCCUCGGCUCGGUCAGCCUUGGCUGCUUACAUGUACUCCGCCGUUUUCAGGAUCCACUUUCGAAGUAGUCGAAAAGCACGAAAGACAUUCUGGCAGAAAGGAUCUUUUUUUCGAGGAAAAUUUCGACGCAGAGGGGGUUCCCCCCUUUUAGCCCCCGAGGGAGGGUUGGGCUUUGCCGAGGCAAGCCUGACCCUUCCUUGAUGACUAAACUUUGCGUGGGAGCGAGGUAUAUGAACAACUUGAAAGCAUCUUAAGGGUAGAAGCGACGUAGCUGUUGGAUGUUCCAAGCGUUGCUGUAGACCUCGCCUUGACGGUUGGCCAGCUUGUACGUUCUGGGCUUCAGAACUUUGGCGAUGACGAACGGCCCUUCCCAGGGAGGCGUGAGCUUGUGCCACCCUCGGGCGUCCUGUCGCAGCCAAAGCACCAGGUCGCCCGCCUGGAGGUCUCAGGACCGGACCCCUCGGGCGUGGUAGCGUCGCAGGGACUGCUGAUACCGCGCCGAGUGUAGUAAGGCCAUGUCCCGAGGCUCUUCCAGCUGGUCCAGCGAGUCUUCUCGACUAGCUUGGUUGCUUUGGUCGGCGUAGGCCCUCGUCCUCGGGGAACCGUAUUCUAAGUCUGUGGGCAAGAUGGCCUCGGUCCCAUAGACCAGAAAGAACGGCGUGAAGCCCGUGGCUCGGCUCGGCGUUGUCCUCAGGCUCCAGACCACCGAGGGGAGUUCCUUCAUCCAUUGCUUGCCGAACUUGUUGAGGUCGUUGUAGAUCCGAGGCUUGAGCCCUUGUAGAAUCAUGCCGUUGGCACGCUCUACUUGCCCAUUCAUCAUGGGGUGAGCCACGGCUGCUCAGUCCACCCGGAUGUGGUGAUCCUCGCAGAAGUCCAGGAACUUUCUGCCGGUGAACUGGGUGCCGUUGUCGGUGAUGAUGGAGUUUGGGACCCCAAAGCGAUGGAUGAUGUUGGUGAAGAACGCCACCGCCUGUUCGGACCCGAUGCUGUUUAGGGGCCGAACCUCGAUCCACUUGGAGAAUUUGUCGAUGGCGACCAACAGGUGCGUGUAGCCCCCGGGUGCCUUCUGCAAGGGGCCGACGAGGUCCAGACCCCACACAGCGAAAGGCCAGGUGAUGGGUAUUGUCUGCAGAGCCUGAGCGGGCAGGUGGGUCUGCCUCGCGUAGAACUGACACCCUUCGCAGGUGCGGACAAUUCUAGUGGCGUCGGCCACCGCCGUCGGCCAGUAGAAACCUUGUCGGAAGGCGUUUCCGACGAGGGCUCGAGGUGCUGCGUGAUGGCCGCAAGCCCCCGAGUGUAUCUCUCGUAGGAGCUCCUGGCCUUCGGCGAUGGAAAUGCAUCGCUGGAGGAUGCCUGAGGGGCUGCGGUGGUAGAGCUCCUUCCCGUCCCCCACCAAGACAAACGACUUGGCGCGCCGCGCCAACCAUCGAGCUUCGGCUCGGUCGAGGGGUAGCUCUCCUCGGUGGAGAUAUUGCGGGUACGGGGUCCGCCAGUUUCGAUUAGGCGUGACCCCGCUUCGCUCCUCCUCGACGCGCAGUGCCUCACCCUCGGGGGCCGAGGGUGCCUCAGGCUGAACCGAGGGUGCCUCGGGCCGAGCUGAGGGUGCCUCGGGCCGAGCCGAGGGUGCCUCGGGCCGAGCCGAGGGUGCCUCGGGCCGAGCCGAGGGUGCCUCGGACUGAGCCGAGGGUUCCUCAGGCUGGGCCGAGGGUGCCUCGGGCUUGGGCGUGUUGUCGAUCUUGAUGGAGGGUUGAUGUAGGUCUCGAGAGAAGACGUCCGGGGGAACCGUUGUUCGCCCCGAGGCUAUUUUAGCCAGCUCGUCCACAGUCUCGUUGUAGCGUCGGGCGAUGUGGUUGAGCUCGAGCCCGUAGAACUUGUCUUCCAGGCGUCGAACCUCAUCGCAGUAGGCUUCCAUCUUUGGGUCGCGGCAGUGGGAGUUCUUCAUGACUUGGUCGAUGACGAGCUGCGAGUCACCACGAGCGUCGAGGCGUCGGAUCCCUAGCUCGAUGGCGAUGCGCAACCCGUUGACCAGAGCCUCGUACUCAGCCACAUUGUUGGACGCCGGGAAGUGGAGGCGUAGCACGUAGCAUAGAUGCUUUCCAAGGGGCGAGAUGAAGAGUAGGCCUGCGCCGGCCCCUGUCUUCAUCAGCGACCCGUCGAAGAACAUGGUCCAGAGCUCCGGUUGGAUCGGAGCUGUUGGGAGCUGGGUGUCGACCCAUUCAGCCACGAAGUCCGCCAAGACCUGGGACUUGAUGGCCUUCCGAGGGGCGAACGAGAUCGCUUCGCCCAUGAUUUCCACCGCCCACUUUGCGAUUCUACCCGAGGCCUCUCGGCACUGGAUGAUCUCCCCCAGGGGGAAGGAUGACACCACAGUUACCAGAUGAGACUCAAAGUAGUGUCGCAACUUCCGCCGCGUCAGGAUCACUGCGUACAGCAGCUUCUGAAUUUGUGGGUAGCGGAUCUUGGUUUCGGACAGUACCUCGCUGAUGAAGUAGACUGGCCUCUGAACGGGCAAUGCAUGCCCCUCUUCUCGUCUCUCAACCACAAUCGCGGUGCUAACCACCUGAGUGGUCGCGGCGACGUAGAUCAAGAGGGCUUCUCCGGCAGCGGGGCGCACCAAGAUGGGCACGUUCGUGAGGAGCGCCUUCAGGUUCCCGAGGGCUUCCUCGGCCUUGGGGGUCCAAGUGAAGCACUCGGCCUUCCUUAAGAGGCGGUACAGAGGCAGGCCUCUUUCGCCGAGGCGUGAGAUGAAGCGGCUCAGAGCCGCAAGGCAUCCCAUGACUCUCUGUACGCCUUUCAAGUCCUUGAUGGGCCCCAUGCUGGUGAUGGCCGCGAUCUUCUCUGGGUUGGCUUCGAUUCCCCGCUCAGAGACGAUGAACCCCAAGAGCAUGCCUCGGGGUACCCCGAAGACACACUUCUCGGGAUUAAGCUUCACGCCUUUCGCCUUGAGACAUCGGAAUGUCACUUCAAGGUCGGAAAGGAGGUCGGAGGCUUUCCUCGUCUUGACUACGAUGUCAUCGAUGUAGGUCUCGACCGUCCGGCCAAUGUGUUCGCCGAACACAUGGUUCAUGCAUCGCUGGUACGUCGCGCCUGCAUUCCUCAAGCCUAACGACAUGGUGACAUAGCAGUACAUGCCGAAGGGUGUGAUGAAAGAAGUCGCGAGCUGGUCGGACUCUUUCAUCCUGAUUUGGUGAUACCCUUAGUAGGCAUCGAGGAAAGACAGGGUUUCGCACCCAGCAGUGGAAUCCACGAUUUGAUCGAUGCGAGGCAGAGGGUAGGGAACCUUCGGACAUGCUUUGUUUAGACCAGUGUAGUCUACACACAUCCGCCAUUUCCCUCCUUUCUUUCUCACAAGCACAGGGUUGGCAAGCCAUUCGGGAUGGAAUACCUCUUUGACGAACCCGGCCGCCAUUAGCUUGUGGAUCGGUGAUGUUGGGCAGCUCGGUGCGCUGCUUCGAGAAUCGCCGGAUGUAGUCCCGGAGAGACUCUCCCGGCUGCUGCCGGCAGCUUCGUAGGUCCCAGGAGUUUCCAGGGCGCACGUACGUUCCCUGGAAAUUGUCGGCGAAGGCUUGGACCAGGUCGUCCCAGUUGGAGAUCUGCCCCGGAGGCAGGUGCUCCAACCAAGCGCGAGCGGUGUCGGAGAGAAACAGGGUGAGGUUGCGGAUGAUGAGGUUGUCAUCGUCCGUUCCACCCAGUUGGCAGGCCAGCCGGUAGUCUGCGAGCCACAGUUCCGGUCUCGUCUCCCCCGAGUACUUUGUGAUAGUAGUCGGGGGUCGGAACCGGGUCGGGAACGGCGCCCGUCGUAUGGCGCGGCUGAAAGCCUGCGGACCGGGUGGUUCGGGCGAGGGACUCUGAUCCUCCCCGCUGUCGUAGCGUCCCCCACGCCUGGGGUGGUAGCCUCGGCGCACCCUCUCGUCGAGGUGGGCCCGACGAUCGCGGUGAUGGUGCUCGUUGCCGAGGCGACCCGGGGCCGCAGGCGCUGUGAUGUGCGUGCGCCCGGUGUGGACCAAGGCUUCCCGCAUGAAUCGGGAAGUCGCAGCUCGAUGUUCCGAGGGGUACCCCUGCCUUCGGGAGGCGGAGCUCUCGGCCCAUCGGACCGCGACGCCCUCCAGGAGAUUCUUGAGCUCUCCCUAGAUUCACCGCCCCUCGGUGGUUGAUGGCUCCGGCAUCGCGCGGAGAAGCAUUGCUGCGGCAGCCAGGUUCUGGCCGACCCCACUGGAAGCGGGUGGCGGCCUCACCCUGACAUCGUCGGCGAUGCGGUGAUGGAUACCCUGGGGUAGAUGGCGCACUUCUCCGGCCGGAGGUUGGCUCGCCCAUUCUUGCCCGACGUCCCGGCGGAUCGGCUCAAGCGCUCCUGCUCCCUCGUCGAGCCUGGCCGGCACCCCACGGAUUUGCUCGAGCUGUGGGUCAUGACCCCCUGCCGGAACGGGGACCACAGCUAGCUCCCGUAGGAUGUCAACGCGUGGCACAGGCCUAGGGAGAUCACCGUUCUCAGGCAUACCGAGAUGGUUGCCUUCGGAGGGACCCCCUAGAUCGACGUGGAAACAUUCACGACUUGGGCCACAGUCCUCGUCGCCGAGGCUGCGGCUACCGUCGGAACAGUCGGAAAGGCAGUAGUCGCAUGCGGUCAUGAAGUCCCGCAUGGCACUGGGGUUGCCAAGUCCAGAGAAAUCCCAACAGAAGUCGGGCUCGUCAUCUUCCUCGGACCCCGAGGGCCCGUAGGUCGAGACGUCCGCGAGCCGGUCCCAGGGUGACCGCAUACGAAACCCAGAGGGUUUGGACUCGCCUCUGCGAGAGCGUCCGCCAAAGCGAAGUCGCUUGGCGGGUCGAGGCUGAAUCCAAAGGGCGUGAGAUGGGAACCGGUGGGUACCUCUUGGUCAACGGGCGGUGACGAAGUCACGUCAGGGACUGACUGCAUCGUCGUCUCAGGUACGAGGGUGACGCCUAGCAAGCCUUUCGCGAGCGUGCUGGCGUCGUCCGUUUGCUCGGAAUUGGCGUGUCGCGGGGAGACGAUGCUCGUCUUCGUCUCAAACGCGAGGUCGAUGUCCGACGUGCCCCCCGUUGGGGCACCGGCGCCAUCGACUUGCUCGACAGCCGACGAGGUGCCACCUCCUGCUUGGCCUUGGUUGCCCCGCCUCCUCCUCCGUCGGCGGGGGAGAGGGCGGGGUGAGCUCAAAUGUUGCUCUUCCACCACGCGGGGAAGACGUCGCCGAUUCCGUCGCCGACGGGCGAGCUGUCGGCCGCCAUUGUUGCUAUCGCACGGCGGGGGAAGGAGUAUCAUGUCGUAGCUGCCGUCGAGGGACAUGAACUCAAGACUCCCGAAACGGAGCACCGUCCCGGGCUGGAGAGGUUGCUGGAGACUACCCAUCUGGAGCUUGACGGGAAGCUGUUCGUCAACACGCAACAGGCCCCUACCUGGUGCGCCAACUGUCGGCGUUUCGAGAUCGGGGGGUCCCUGGGACGACGAGUGAAAUGUCGCCGCGUGCCCCAGCCCAGAUGGGUCGGCGCGAGACGGAGCGCGAAGGGGGGAAGAAAGGGCAGCCGGAGUGAGAGAGGGAGGCGGAAAUCCCGCGGCCUUCGUGUUUGUCCCGCGCUCAGGUCGGGUGCGCUUGCAGUAGGGGGUUACAAGCGUCCACGCGGGAGAGGGAGCGAGCGGCCUCACGCGAGCGCCUGUCCCGUCCUCUUCUCCGUGCGGCCAACCCUCUGUAAGAGGGCCCUGGUCCUUCCUUUUAUAGGCAUAAGGAGAGGAUCCAGGUGUACAAUGGGGGUGUAGCAGAGUGCUAACGUGUCUAGCGGAGGAGAGCUAGCGCCCUAAGUACAUGCCAUCGUGGCAGCCGGAGAGGUUUUGGCACCCGGUUCGUGUGGUGUCGUGGCCGUUGGAGGAGCACUGAAGCCUGGCGGAAGGACAGCUGUCGGGGCUGUCGAGUCCUUGCUGACGUCCUCUUGCUUCCGUAAGGGGGCCGAGAGCCGCCAUCGUCAUAGAGCGUGCGAGGCGCCUUCAUUACUUUGUCUGGCGGAGCGAGCCAGAUGGGACGCCGGUCUUGUUUCCCGUAGCCUGAGUCAGCUUGGGGUAGGGUAAUGAUGGUGCCUCCUGUUGACGUGGCCGGUCCGCGCCCUAGGUUGGGCGAUGUGGAGGCUCCUCCGAGGUCGAGGUCGAGUCUGUCUUCCGUGGCCGAGGUCGAGUCCGAGCCCUUGGGUCGGGCAAGGCGGAGACCGUCGGCUGAGGCCAGGGUCGAGUCCGAGCCCUGGGGUCGGGCGAAGCGGAGUUCGUCGUCUUCCGGGGCUGAGCCCGAGUCCGAGCCCUGGGUCGGGCGGAGCGGAGUUCGCCGUCUUCCGGGGCUGAGCUCAAGUCCGAGCCCUGGGUCGGGCGGAGCGGAGUUCGUCGUCUUCCGGGGCUCAGCCCGAGUCCGAGCCCUGGGUCGGGCGGAGCGGAGUUCGCCGUCUUCCGGGGCUGAGCCCAAGUCCGAGCCCUGGGUCAGGCGGAGCGGAGUUCGCUGUCUUCCGGGGCUGAGCCCAAGUCCGAGCCCUGGGUCGGGCGAAUUGGAGCUUCCUAUGGUGCCUGAGGCCGGGCCUGACUGCCUGUCAGCCUUACUCUGUCAAGUGGCACAGCAGUCGGAGCGGCGCAGGCGGCGCUGUCCUUCUGUCAGGCCGGUCAGUGGAGCGGCGAAGUGACUGCGGUCAAUUCGGCUCUGUCGACUGAAGGGCGCGCGUCAGGAUAAAGGUGUCAGGCCACCUUUGCAUUAAAUGCUCCUGCGAUUUGGUCGGUUGGCACGGCGAUUUGGUCAGGGUUGCUUCUUGGCGAAGAUAGGGCCUCGGGCGAGCCGGAAGUAUGUUCGUCGCUGGAGGGGGGCCUCGGGCGAGACGGAGAUCCUCCGGGGUCGGCUGCCCUUGCCCGAGGCUGGGUUCGGGCGAGGCGUGAUCGAGUCCCUCGAAUGGACCGAUCCCUGACUUAAUCGCACCCAUCAGGCCUUUGUAGCUUUGUGCUGAUGGGGGUUACCAGCUGAGAAUUAGGAGCCUUGAGGGUACCCCUAAUUAUGGUCCCCGACAAUAAUCAAACUACUAUGUUUCAAAAGUGUAUAUCAGUCGUCAUAUGGUUGAUUAGAGUUAUGGCCACUUCCUCUAGCUAGACUUUAGGUAGUGAAAAGGUUGUUCACCCAUGAAGUCGUGGUCUCGUCUUGGCCAGAUUCCUCUCUAGGUGUUGCAACCAAAAUGGGAGGUGUCUAUAAGGCCCCUAACACAUAAGCCUAGAUAUCAAAUACUAAUUUUUUCAUUUUUAUCACACACGCAUACAGGGCCGGAUUUGGGACGGGGCCACCAUGGCGGUAGCCCUAGGCCCCAAAUUUAUUGGGCCCCUCCCCACAUAUCUUAUAUAGACAUCUUUAAGCCCAAUAAAAAACCAAAAAAGAAAAAUGAAUUGCCUAAGAGCUUGUCACCCAUCAUCAUGUUUGUUGCCUCCGUCGUCGCUAGUGCCAGGAUGCGACACCGUACCUCUGACCUCUCUCGGAAGCUCUCUUCCAUGUCCAUACGGUGUUCUUUUGUUUGAUUCACGUAGGUCAUGGCCAUUAGUGAACUAUUAUUUUAUUAUUCUUGCUUGUUCCUUUCAUACGUUGUAGGCCACGGCCACUAGGCCUUAAUGAACAAUCCUUCCCUCCACUUGAACCUGAAGAAGAAAAAUUAUAUUAAUGAAUUUUUAAUUUAUUGUUCUUGCUUUUGUAUGUUGUAGGCCUUGGUGAUCUCCUCCACUUGAUCUUGGCCUCUGCCUUGCGGGAUGCGGCAGGGUUUUGUAUUGUAUGAUUAAUUUAAAAUGUUUUUAAUAUUAUGUUAUUUUAUUGACAAAAAUAUGUAUAUGUACUAAAUAAAUAGGGGAUCCUUUGGAAUAAAGGAAAAUUUCCUAAAUCCUGCGCUUUUCCGAUGUUUUUGAACUAAUUUCUGUGAAAUUCCUAUAUCAUUUCUGUGAAAUUCUUGUGUUCCAAUGGAGCUCUAGAAUUAUAUUUAUAUAGAAGGGCUCCCAUAUUUGAGUUCGCCCUAGGUCUCUAAAAUGUCAGCUCCAGCCCUGCACGCAUAUAUGUACGUAUGAAUGAACGAAUAUCUAAUCUGGACACUACAUGAAUUCACUUAAUUCUCGUCGGCCAGAAACCGACGGGAAUAAGCCUAAACCGACGGGAAUUACUUAUUCCCGUCGGUUUAGGGCUUAUUCCCAUCGGUUGUCAGCCGCCAGGCGUCCCUUGUUGGGGAUAAGUUUAUCCCCGUCGGCUAGAAGGUGGCCGACGGGAGUUAAGGCUAACUCCCGUCGGUGUUGCGGGCCGACGGGCGUUAUUUAUUAAUUCCCGUCGGUUUCCCAGGCCGACGGGAGUUAUGAAUUAAUUCCCGUCGGUCCGACGUGGCCGACGGGAAUUAACUGGGCCGACGAGCAUUAUUAGUUAAUUCCCGUCGGUUCGACCAUAGCCGACGGGAAUUAACUGGGCCGACGGGAAUUACCCUAUACUGCUAUAAAAAAGCACUAAAUUAUGUCACUAUUUCUGCACACAUAACAUAUAUCAUACAUAACAUAAAUCACAGAUAACAGCCACAUUACAAACACAUGCAUUUAGAGAUACGACAUCCACAAACACAUGCAUUUAGACAUAAACACUUGCAUUUAUAAUUAAAACAUCUACCAACGUGUACGACAUAAUAUUGAAACAUAACAUCCACCAACGAGUACGACAUAGUAUUGAAACAUAACAUCGACCAACGAGUACGACAUUUCAAACAUAAGUUCAAGUGUUUAGAUAUAACCACCACUUGGGUGGUUAGAGCUUUGACCGCUGCCGCCACCACCACCAGGAGGAGGGAACGCGAAGAGCGAGUCAACAAAUCUAGUCCCUACUGCUGGAUCAGACCCACUACCACCCGCUUCAGGCGUAACCUAUGCAAGUUAGCAAAUAUCAUCACGUUAAAUGCAAAUAUCAAAAAAGUAUACAAGUAUAUAAAUUAAUGGAGAGUUAUCAAACGUACCCUAUCUCCAGGUGCAGGUAUAUGUGUCGGAGGGGUGGUGAACUGUGGUGGUGGAACUGGUGUGUUUGCAAAUUGGCUCCAUUGUGGUGGCGGUGGAAAAUUUGAUGUCAUGCCCUGUUGCUGCAUUAACUGUUAAACACAUAUGUGUUACUACCGAAGAUGUUGUAUUGAAAUAUAAUAAUUUAGAGUUCGGAUUAUGUGUACUCACUUGAUACAUCGCUUGGUUAUGUGCAUUGCAAGCCUCCAUAAAUUCGCGUUGUUGUCUCAUCUCUUCACGCAUCCUCAUAAUCUACAACUCCUGCUCGUUCGGUCGACGAGAGCAUGAGCUACGGGAAGAUGAACCCGUCCUCUGAGAUCUCACCGAUGACGAGUCAAUGAAUCCGUCAAAGAGUGCGUAUCUAUAAGUUAUACAAAAAAUGUGAUUACUGUAUAAUCAAUUUAGUGUCAACCAUAUAAUUUCAUAAGUUAGAGCUUACCGUCCAUGCGCUUUGCCACCACCACUUGCGUACACCACCGAGGGAUCCAACGGUUCAUGGCGCCAGUCGAAGUCAGGGCCAUGGCGACGAACCAUCUCCUCCCCAUAUGCCGCCUAUACAUCAUUCACAACCUUACAAAUGCAGGAAUUUAUAUACUUUGAACGUUUGAACUUUUGAGCCAAAACUCACCAAGCGAUCCGUGGUUGUCUAGCUGCAGAGCUGGUCAGGGUUGUUCGGGUUUGGUCCUUUGUGGCCCUCCUGGUAGACCUCAAUGUCACUAGGCUUUUGGCCACUCGUAGCUUCCUGUAUAAACAAAAAACAUUCAUAAGGAAUCGUAUUAUUUGUUGAUCGACAUAGCUAGAUCAAACUUACCAUUCUUUUAGCUUUUCGUAUCAUGUCGUCACCGCCAAACUUGUGGUUAGGAUUGGUUCCUCGACAUUGUCUGUGAUGCGUUGACGCUUUCUGAAAGCCUUCGGAAGCCCAAUAUUGACACCAAGCAUAGUACGCAUCAGGCACGGGCGCCAUCCAUGGAACCAUCACCUGCACACACAAUGUUACAUAUUAUAUCAAUCACAACAAUCAAUAUAAAGGGUAAAACAAAUUGAAUACUAACCUCACGAUAUUGAUCCUUAGUCAAAUAUAUCUUUGAGGACCCUUCCUUUUUAUUCAAGGGGCCUGCUUCUUCCGGAUGCUUUUGAAAAUACAGGUUUGUAGCCUGAAUUCUUGCAUAGUAUAUGACAUCCUUCACCAGCUUCUUUGCAUUGUUUUGGAAGACAAGUUCAGCGUGCCCCAUGUAAUCCUCUCCGUCAGGCAACCGAUAUCGAAGCUACAACAUAAAGAAUACAAAUGCAAUGGUAUAAGUCAUAGAUUUACAAUAUUAAUAAACAUAACAAAAAAUAAAGAAUUCAUACCCAAAAGUCAUUACGCACAAGUCCCUGUCUAUCGGUGUGGUUUCGUUCCUUUUUAAACUUGUACUCGUCCCAGGUACUGACGAGCACAUCAUCCUCGGUAUCACCGUUUGACACCUUCACUAUACCAAGGUAGUGAAGGCGGCAAAGAGAACCCAACGUAAGGUUAACCUGAGUGUAGUGUCCCUUGCCGUCAAAGGACAGGUCCUCCCAAUUCCUGCAUUACACAAAAACAUUAACAAUAGACAUAAUAGUUAUAUGAGAUAAGUUAGUAUAUUACACUCACCGAUCUCCAUGUGGCAUGAUUAAAGUCCUAUCAGCCUCUCGCUCUAUCGCGUGAUGAGGCUUUACUGAGUGGCUUUUUCUUGAGCGACGUGUGCGUGUCGCUGAAGAGCCUCCCGAGCCAUCAUCCAUCGGGUUGUCAGCCGGUUCGCCCUGUUGGCCCCACUGGUCCCACGCCUGUUGCUGCUCUCUCUGGUGGUCCCACUGGUCCCAUGGCUGGUGAUGCUGUGCGGCCUGGUCCCAUGUCACGUGCUCCACCUCCUCAUUGUGCUCCACCUCCUCAUUGUGCUCCACCUCCUCAUUGUGCUGCUCAUCCUGGUACAUACAACUCAAGAUUUAUUUGUAAAUAUGUAAACAAAAUUAUUUGUACAAGAUAUGUUACCUCAUCUCCAUGUACCGCGCUCAACAGCUCUCGACGUCUGCUGCUAGAAGAACUACCCUAAAAAAGGCCCAGGCCCUUGAACAGCCCCUUCACUGACUUCUUUGAUUUUGGCGGCAUCCUGCAUAAAAAACAAGAAAUUAUUCAUUAGUGCAUCAAAAAUGACAUAAUACUUAAAAAUAGACACAAAUGAAAUAACAAAACAACUUUACUUGUUAAAUAUCAUCAAAAUCAGGAUCUAUUUGUUCUCUUCUAUGCAGAGGUCGCCAUGUAACUUUUCUCCUAACAGGUUGUCUUCUUCGUCUCUCGGAAAAAGUUAAGUCGUUAACGUCUGCAACUAGUGAAUCUAAUGCCGGUGCAGGAUCAAUAUGAAAACUAGUUGACAACUCUUCUUCUUGAAACACCUCAUCAACCUGCUCAAGGUGACCAAUUUGAUAUUCGUCCUCACCAGGAGUGUAUAGGCGUUCGCGGGGAUUUACAUUGUACACAACCCUCCAUUUAGACAACUUUUUGCAUGGAUAUGUCGAGAAAUAAACUUGGUCUGCUUGAUGGGCAAGGAUAUACGUGUCGUGUCCUUGAAGCAAUUUUUCCGGUUGGAUCUGUGUCAUCCCAAAUUCGGUCCUAUAAUACUUCGGGUCAUACCAUUUACACUCAAAGAAAACUAGCGCUAAAGGCUUAUUUCCAGCAAAUGUAAUCUCGAUUAUAUUUUUGAUUUUCCCGUAAUAGCAGGCUUCGUGUCCUUCCAUGUCGGUUGCCCUAGUAACGACUCCACUAUUUUGAGUGGCGGCAAUAGGAUGACUUGAUUCGAAAAUGCUUGAACGAAAGCGAUAUCCAUUGACGUUGUAACGUCCAUAGCUUUUGGCAGUUACGCUUCCAAUAGAUAACUGACGUAAGUCAUCAUUCAAAUUCAUUUCCUCCCCAAACUGUCAAUUAUGCCACAAAGCAUUAGCAAAUUCUGUAAUAUUAGUUAACUGAAAUUAGCUCUCGGAGCCACAUAAUUAAGACUUACACGGUCCCGAAGCCACAUAAUGAAAUUAGGUCGCCCAUGCAUACCAUCGCGUCGCAAUUUGUCUAUGUCUCUCGCUGUUGGCCUACCGAGACACCUCAUGUUUUGUUCAUCAAACUCGCUGUCAAAUAUUAUUGUGUGACAUGAGAUAUUUGAUAACAUAAACUAAUUCACAUAUGAACAGUUUAAGAAAAUAAGUCUUACACAAAAUAUUUCUCCACCUCAGGCAUAUUCGUGAACAUGUACAGUAAAGCAGACUUCCGUUCUUCCAUACUGAGGUGAUAUGCCUUGGGUGGACCAACGGCUUUGCCGUUUGUCUGAAAAAUCGAAAGAUCACUACAAGGAGGCAUCUCUCGUUCAUCAUCAUGGUACCUUUUCUUUCGAGCAAAUACAUUAUGUUCUUCUGCAAAGUAACAACUUGUGAAGUGUGCUACCUCCUUAAGUUUAAAUUGUUCCGCAAUACAUCCUUCAACUCUUGCCUUAUUGCCCACCAUUGCUCUAAGCUUCUUUAAAGCUCUUUCUAUAUGAAACAUCCACCUAUACUGAACAGGACCACCGACCUUAGCCUCAUAUGGAAGAUGUAUAAAGAGAUGCUGCAUAGGAUUGAAGAAACCCGGUGGAAAUAUUUUUUCCAAUUUGCACAAAAGCACUGGUGCCUCUUUCUCCAGCUGUUCCAUCACAUCUCUUAUGAUUUCUUUAGCACACAACUGUCUGUAGAAAUAGCUAACUUCAUCUAACGUUUUCCACAUAGCUUCUGAAAUGUACCCACGAAACAUUACAGGCAUGAGCCUCUCCAUAAUUAUGUGGAAGUCAUGGCUCUUCAGUCCAUUCAUCUUCAUUGUCUUCAAGUUCACAAAUCUUCUAAAACCAGCGGCAUAACCAUCGGGUAAUUUAAUAUCCUUCAUCCACUUCAUCACUUCUUUCCGUUGCUUAGAUUUCAGACAAUAGUCAGCUUUUGGUUUGCCUCCGUUUUCUCUAAGCACUAGGGUUGGAUGAUCACAUAUCACUGCUAAGUCCAUGCGUGCCUUGUCAUUGUCUUUCGUUUUAUCAGGGAAAUCCAUGCAUGUAUUUAUGAGGGCUUGGCAAAAGUUACUCUCUUGAUGCAUGACGUCGAUGUUGUGCAUCAAAAUCAAUGACUAGCAUAAGGAAGCUCCCACAAGCCACAUAUGUGAGUCCAGUUAUGCUCCUCACCAAAACCUUGAUACCUUUUCCCACUCUCGUCUAGGACAAGUUUCAUAUGUUCUUCUGUAAUUUCUAUCCCACUACGUCGCUUGGGCGGUCCCUUCGUGACGAUGGUGCCCUUCCUAAAUUCCUUCCUCUGCUUUCUGAAGGGGUGAUUGAAGGGUAGAAAACAUCUAUGGCAAUCAAAGUAACAUAUCUUGCCACCAGCACUAAGACGAAAACAAUCUGUAUCUUUAGCACAAUAAGGACACGUCAAUCUACCAUGCACGCUCCAUCCAGAGAAAAUACCAUAUGCCAUAAAAUCAUGAACCGAGAACAGAUAUGCAACACGAAGAUUGAAUUUCUGCUUCUUGAAGCAAUCAUAGGAUUCCACACCUUGCCAUAGCUUCUUUAACUCUUCAAUCAGUGGUUGAAGCAUCACAUUGAGGCGUACGCCAGGAUGCUCAGGCCUAGGUAUAACAAGACAUAGGAACAUAAACUCAUAUUUCAUGCAAAGAGCAGGUGGAAGGUUGUACGGUAUGGCAAUGACAGGCCAACAUGAAUACGACACAGCGGUCAUAUUGAACGGCGUGAAACCAUCAGUUGCCAAGCCGAUACGAACGUUUCUUGCAUCGCUGGCAAAAUCUGGAUCAAAUUUGUCAAGAGCCUUCCAUGCAUCACCAUCUGACGGGUGCACCAUUAACCCAUCUUGUCUGUCCGUACAAUCUUUAUGCCACCUCAUGUGCAUAGCGGUCUUCCUCGAGAGAAACAAACGUUUCACUCUAGGAGUGAGAGGCAUGUACCAAAGUUGUUUAUGUGCAACCUUUGUCACCACCUUCUCCCCAUAUUCAUUUACAAGCUCCACGUACCUCGACUUCCCACAUUUUAAGCAUUUCUGUUCUCUGCCAUGUUCCUUCCAAAAAAGCAUACAGUUGUCUUGGCAAACAUCAAUCUCUCAUACUCCAUACCAAGACCUUCAAGCAAUUUCUUGGACUGGUACAUGUCUUUGGGCAUCUUGUGACCCGUAGGAAGAACCUCGCUAAUCAAAUCCACAAGCUCCUUGUAACAAUUAAUUGAGAAUGCAAACUUGGACUUGAUUGACAUCAGUCGGGUCACGAAUUCGAGUACGGUCACGUCAGUGUGCCCGUGAAGAGGCUCUUCUGACGCUUUAAGUAGGUCAAAGAACUUCUGAACCUCCGGUGUAGGUGAAUCAUGAUGAUCUGGUGCCAGUUCAGGCUGCAGAUCCUCAAGCAUCUGGUCCAUCCUAUCAACAUCAUCUUCAUCGUCAUCAACUUCUACUUCUGCUGCUCGUUCAAGGCGUGACUCCCCGUGGAGAUACCAGACCUUAUAGCCUGGCACAAAACCAUGCGAGCACAGGUGUAGUGUGACCUGCCUCUUGGUGUGGCUCGUCAUAUUUCGACAUUUAUUGCAUGGACACCUAAUGUUAUCUAUUUGUGACAAAGCAGCUGCAUGGUCCAGAAACAUCUGCGUCUUGGCAAACCAUUCACUUGUGUGACACCCACCCUUCUUGAAACCUUCAUACAUCCAAUCACGUCUAUCACCCAUAUUGCGGCUGUGUGUACGAGUAAGAAUUGCGUGUGUGAGACAUUCAUGUUUAUAAACGUCACACAUACAUCUAUAGAUAAAUAGUUAAACUAUAUAUAUACAUAACAUAACUAUAUAUAUACAUAACAUAAACGUCACACAUACAUCUAUAUAUAUACAUAACAUAACUAUAUAUAUACAUAACACAUAAACGUCACACAUACAUAUAUAUAUAUACAUAACAUAUCAUCCAAUUCAUUAACUAAUAACAUUAAACAACACAUUUUAUAUUUGCAACAUAAAAUUAAAAAUAUGAAGACUAAUAACACUGUUAAUUAACAAAUUUAAACAAAACUUAAUCACAUAACAGUUAACUCUCGUCGGCCAUAAAAAACCGAUGAAAAUAAAACAUUACAAUAUAUAUAAUAUACCUCGCUCGCUUUGCGCGACGGUGGUGGACGACGUCGAUGUGGGGAAGCCGCGGCUACCGUGGACGGCGCCGGGUGACGGCGUUGGGCGGGCGACGGCGGUCGUCGGGCGCCCGGGCGGGGGCGGCGGCCGUGGGCGCGGGGCAGCGCAGCGUGGGACCGGCGGCCGUGGGCGGGGGCGGCGGUCCUGGGCUCGGUGUGGCGGCCGGGCGAGCGGCGUGACGGCGGCGGGGCAGCGGGCGAGCGGGGGCGGUGGGACGGCGGCGGGGCGGCGACGUCGGCCGGCGGUGUGCGGGCGAUGGCGGGCAGAACGACGGCGCGGGCGCGGGCGUAGAGAGAGCGCGCGGUGAAAGAAAUAGAAAGGAAGAAGAAAGGGCACGACGGUGGUUAUUUCGAAUAACUCCCGUCGGCCUGGCGACGCGGCCGACGGGAGUUACUUAAUCGCCGUCGGCUGUACGCGGGCCGACGGGAGUUAGUUAAUCUCCGUCGGCUACGUUGACUGACCGACGGGAAUUAAAUAAUCUUCGUCGGCCUUACUUUGGCCGACGGGGAUUAAUUAAUUCCCGUCGGCCCGCGCGCAGGCCGAUGGGAAUUAAUGUAGCCGACGGGAAUGCUUUGAAUUGCUGUAGUGGGACGAACCAAAGGUAAAAGUGGCGGAGGUGGAGGCCCGAUGCAAGUGGCGGAGACGGCAUCCCAAAGCUUGGCAUUUGGACACCCAUUUGUUUUGCCACUUACUACUAUCUUUGGUGUCCUAUUAUUUGUUGUUUUGGAUAAGGUUUGAGUCAAAUUUACAAAAGUUUGACUACAAAUAACUCUUUUGUUAUUUAGUUUUGAAACCUAAUAUUUAUAUGCACGGAUUUGUCUCAAAACACUUUUAUAAAAGUAUAUAUGUAUCAAAAGUUUAUUUGUAUUUUGGCAAAAAAUAUUGGUAAAAGAUAUAUUUUGGAGACCGUAUCGUUGUCCUAAACAAUAAAUAAUUAGAAACCAGAGGGAGUACAAAUUAGAUGCAAGUAACUUUUGAGGAGCACAAAACCAAACAAGCUUGUAGUUGUUAUGAAUAACAUAUUACUUCGACUUACUGAGAGAAAAGCAUGUUGCUGGGCCUAGAGGUUCGCAUAGUACUCGUCCUUCUCCUUUGGUGCUAAGCUUGCCGCCUAUGAUACUCUGUCGGCUAGAUCUGAUACUCCGCAUGUUGCCUUAUAACUUCCUACAGUCUGACAAUCUCCAUGUCCUGGGUGGAGGAGCGAGAACGAGAUGCCUACGAGGAUGACGAUACAGACCUUCGUCCUUGAUGUCUCAACUCCCUAGAGUCAAUUGCAGAAUCAAAUAUACCCAACCUACAUGAGUAACCAUGGACUUAGUACAAUCGCAAGCAUAUUAGCAAAACUUAAAAACAAAAUGAAAUACUCUCACCGUCCAUGGGCUUGUCCUCCUACGCUAGCAUAUGUUGACUCGGGGUCGAUGGGUUGGGUCCUCUAGUCAUAGUCCUACCCAUGGCGCUCAACCAUCUCCUCCCCAUAUGGUGCCUGGAAUCAAACACAGCAAAUAUCAAUACGUCAUCAAGGUGAUGCACAAACAAACACUAGAGUACCAAAAACUCACCAGACGAUCAGUGCAUGCCUGAGUGCGCAAAACAUCAAGAUUCUAAGGAUUAGAACCCAUAUGCCCUUGCACAUCUAUGGGCCUAGCACCGGAUUUGGUCCCCUGUACAUACAAGUUAGAAUGACAAACUUUUAUUUACUUUGAAGUUAGAACAUACUAUAAUGUAUCAUUCUCUGAGCCAAGCACACAUGUCCAUCACCACCAUAGUUGUGGAACGACUCGGUACCACAUUUUCCCUUGUUCCUUUCAGAAAUGGUGUGGAACUCUGGGGAAGCCCACCACCUACACAAGGCCCAAUAACCAUCUGAUCGGGUGACCAUCCAAGGAAUAGACACCUACAUGAAAUGCUCCUCGAUCAGGUAAAUUGAUGCAUUAACAUGUACCCAAAGCAAGAAUCAACAAAAAAAUAAAAAGGGGUCGACAACUUUUUUACCUCAAAGUAUUGCUCCUCCGUAAGGUAAAUCAACGACCACUCCAUCUUGGUCUUCGACAUUCAUAAAAGAGUCAAGAAUUAGUGUCUUGAAAUAUUGAAUCCUGACUCCUCGAGGUUCUCCUCGUCCAAAGCAAACUCUAAGUCGAAGACUUCAUUUUCUUUGGCAUCCUAUUUCAACAAAAACAAGUUAGUACAUCAAUCCAAAUAUGAAUACAGAAUGAAAUACAAAAUAAUAAAAGAAAAUAAAAAAUUAUGCAAAUAUAUUACAAUUCCAUACUCGUCAAUCAUAAUUGUAAUCAAAAUCAUGAUUGAGUUUUUUUAUUUCGAUUCAAUGGACGCCAAUUAGAUUUCUUCUUUCUCGACAUUCAUUUUCUUUUUGGAGGAACCUCUACAUCGUUCAGAUCACCUAUUAAGGAUUCUUCCAACAUUUCAAUUUCUAUGUUAAACGUGCUUAGAAGUUCAUCGUCUUGGAAAAUCGCAGUAGCCCCCACCUCCAACUCGAUUCGACUUUCAGCAUAACCAGCAUCACCAGGAGAAUAUAGUCAUUCAUGAGAAUUAACUUUGUACACUAACAACCAAUCAAUCAAACUCUUACCGUAGAUGGAUAUGGCAUAUAAUACACCUGCUCGCAUUGGUGGACAAGGAUUAUAGUGUUGUGGCCUUGUAUUCAAUCAUUGUGUUUGACAUCCACCAUGCCAUACUGGUUUUCUCGUGUUGCACUAUUAGGAGCAAACCAAUCACAAUUUGAGUAAAUCUAACGACAUCAUGUCCCUCCUAAAUGGUUGAUGGCAGAGGCAGUGCACGUGGAUGGAGACGACCAUUUUGUAUGAUGCACUUAUUUCCGACGGCUUGUCCGACAUCCAUCGGAUGUAGAGCUUAUGUCCUACGACUGACAGAAGGGUCGUGAAAGAUAAUAUUAUUUUCGACAACUGGCAUGAACCGUCGCUAGUUUCUUUAACUUUCGAUGGCUAGCCUAGAAGCCCUCAGACAUAAGGCGGACGUUAGAAAAUCUUUGGUUUCCUGUUGUAAUGUACGGGUAUUUGACUAGUAAGAAUUGAGGGGUCACUUCAACUUUCGAUGGGCCCAACACCUGCAUGUCAGCCUCAUUGAUGGUGGAUGCAUCAACGAAUCAGUGUGUGGACAUCGUCUGUGGCGAGUGGAUCCAUAAAUUCACAUCCAUGAUAACAGAGCUAGGCGGAUACAUGAUAUGUCAUCCACAUUAACGAUGAAGGUGCCUAAACUUUGAGCAACAGGGUGUUAGAAUUGAUCUCCACCAUUUGCCCUAACGACCAAUUGGGUCCUUGACCUCACGCCCUGAUUGGACAAGGCUAGUAGGUCCUUAUUGCGCUGCCCUACAAAUAGAUAGGUGAGGGUUGAUGGCAGAGCACAAGGUUCAUAGUAGCUACCAUAUCAAUUCCUCAUUUUCAACUCUAGACCGAUCUCGAGGGGAGGCUGUCAGCAACAGAAAGCUCAUCGUCGACGUGAGCUCACUUCCCCGACUGUCGUUGCCAUAGCGCAGAGCUUCACCGACGAACGUGUCGGCGUCGGAUUCAAAACGAGGUAUGAUUUGUGUUUUUGGUAUUGAUCAAGUGGUGUAAUGCAUCAUAAUCCUAUUUUGGGAUUUACGUGUGUUCUUCAAAAUAUUAAGAAUCAAAAUAACUCUUAAUAUGGGGUUUUCUCUUUUCAAAGUUAUUUCCUAUUAUAAAUUAUAUAAUUAGAAAUAUUUUUCAAAAUACUCAAGUAACUCUUGUUGGAGAAUAUAAAUUACUUUCUCUUAAAACAAGCAAGUAAUAAAUAUGAAUCCUCUUUAGUACUUUUAAAAUAAUUUCCUUGGAAUAGAUAAUAUGUGAAUUAUUCUUUAUUCUUUAUUUUAUGUCUUGAAACAUGAAUAAAAGAACUAGUAUGAACUUAAAAAAUCAUUACAUCAAGCUAGGAUUAUUUUGUUUGUUGCAUCUAAAUUGGAGUUUCAAAUUCAAAACCUAGACUUGAAUUGAAUUUGAAAGUGGAAAACAAAUAGAAAAGAAACUAAAAAUAGAAAUAAGAUAAAAAGGGGAAAAAGAAAAUUGCUCUUGGGCUGGAUUCACUCAGGCACGACCCAGCUAUUCCACGCCGGCCCACUCUCCCUUUGCUCUUUUUUCUUUUCCCUUAAUGUAUAUCGUGUGGGGCCCUUUUACCAGCUUCUCAUCCAUGCGCCCCACACUUCUUGCUGAUGCAGCCACGCGGGCCCGCACGUCAACCCCUUACACGCGCACACGAGCUUGCUUCCGGGGGCUGAUUUGUGGGGUAGCCUCGUCAGGUUCAUCCCCUAGCUCGGGUUUGUUAUGAACAACCCGGAGAAUGCAUGUGGACCUCAGUUGUCACCACCCUAAUCCUUAUCUCCACAGGUAUAUAAAUUAGGGACCUGUGACCUCCCCUUACUCGUCGUCAGAGAGGUGUCGAGAGCCAUGACGUCAAACGGAGAGGAGAGAGAGAGAAGUGCAGGCAGGGAGAAGGAUCGCCGUCAUGGUGGACAACUACACUAUGGAGACAUCGGGCUCUCGGGUUUGGGUCAGGGGAGAUCGCCGACAUGUGUUGAUGCUCGUCGUGGCGUCAUUUGGGCAGGUAGGGCCUUGGAAGUCGCUGCAAUUCUUCGUUGGAGAAGCGUCACCACUGAGGACUGACACCUCGUCGUGGGUCGAACCCCUCUGUAACACAAUCGACGGUAAUCCACCUUCCCUCAUGUCCGUCGUCAUCCCCUCUUCGCAUAGCACCAUUCAUAUUAGAACAUGGAGCACUAGGUCGAGGGAUCCAUGGGAUCGUCGGAGUUCUGCGCCGUGGGUGGUGCAGUGCCACCGCUGCCUGACUGCGAGGGGAGGAGAAAGAGUUGUUGUAAGUGCAAUCAACCCAGACUGAGGGUUUUGGUGAUUAAAUGACAAAACAAACAGAGUUUCUAACAAGUUUUCUCCUAGUAUGUAUACAGUCAUUCUACAGACAGGAGAAGCACAUAUCAUAUAUGUACACAAAUGUAAAAGCACAGCGGAUUAAAAUUCUACAUCAUAUAGCGUGCUUCAAGUGCUUGGGAACAACGGCAAUUUACUCUUUACAAUCCUUGAGUCAUAGGAAUCGUCGUUCAAUUAAGAGGGAUCCGCAAUAGUUGAGUAAGUAAGUGCGAUGAGCUUAGUCCAAAUCUUUUCAAAUCCUCUAAGAAAACAUUUUACUAGAUCAUGAAUGCUCUUGGAAAAACCACUUUCACUUCCCGCUAAGAUUUCCCCAUGGUUCUCUUUAGUUUUCUAAAAAUUUGUUCGCCAGUUUCAAAAACCGGCUCAACCGGUUUUUGCACUGUUCACUCUGCCACUUUCUGACCUGCCAGUCUGCCAGCCAGUCCUGUCAGAAAAAGUCGUGUGCAGACUGUUGGAAAAUCGGUUCAACCGAUUUUUGGGCCGGUUCAACCGGAUUUGGAAUCGGACCACUCUUCGGUUGAGUCAGCCAGUGAACCGAGAACCACCCUGGUGGAAACCGGUUCAACCGGUUUCAAAACCGGUUCAACCGGUUUUCUGUCUGGAAUCCCCAAUGGCCACCAGCUUUUAGGGGCUCCUUUAUAUACCCCUCACACUCUCUCUCUUCAUUCACUUCUGCCCUCUCCAUGAAUUCUUGGCUGACCAACUCUCAAACAAGAGCAUUCAAUCCACCUCUCACACCCAAAAUCGCAUCUCCUUCAAUUGAUUGAAGGACCCUUGGUGUGAGGUGAAGUCGGUUUAACUCGUUGUUGAUUUCAUCUCGAUUCUCCCUUUCUCUUCAUCUCUCGAGCUCAUCGCAAACUUGAAUCUUGUGCGGAUUUGUUACUCUUAGAACCUUGAGUUCCUUGACGGAUAGAGGUUGCAUGGGAGUCUCCAAAUUUGUGGACGACCCCAAGAAGUUUGUAUCACCCGCUCGUUGAGCUAAGUUGAGAAGAGAUUGCCUUGACCUUGGUGAUCGGCUUGUGGAGGAUUAGGGUUGGAAAAGACCUGGCCCUUUGUGGGCUCCUCAACGAGGAGUAGGACACCUUUGUGGUGGUUGCCGAACCUCAGGUUAAAUCGUGUGUUCUUGGUGUGCUCUUAGAACGUGCUUUAAAUUGUUGGUUAGUUCAUAUUUGAUUAUAUUGUGUGCAAAUCGUGUGAAACCAAUUCACAUCGAAUUGUCACCCAUUUGAGUGGAUUUUCUCUAGGGCAAGUCUUAAGCAAGAAUCUCUCAUUACUUUGUCACACUUGUUUAACUAUUUAUCUAAUCUAAGUUGAGCAGGUUCAAACUUGUUCAGCUGUAAACAAAAUUAGCUGAACCAGUUUGCACUAGUGCAACUUGAAUUUAACACUACCUCGAAGUUUUUAGUGAAAAAUUUCAAGUGUAGCCUAUUCACACCCCCCUCUAGGCUACUUUCAGUUGUGGUCGUCCAUUUAAUAUGGAGCGGUUAAGAUUAGACGGGAGGAUACCUCUUCGGCGUUUAAAAUCGUGGCUGCCAGAUGGCAAUCCAAGGGUUCCUGUUAGAUCAUGGCGUGGAGCGCUGCGGCCCAUUUAUCUCAAAUCGGACGGUUCUUGGUGCAUAUCGGUUCGAUUUAAUGUAGAUCUAAUCUCAAGCGUUCGACUUUGAUUAUGCGGCGUAGACUCAAAGAUACCCCUUCGUCGCGGUUCUUUUGUUAAAAAGACCCCAGACUCUUUACAAAACAAUUCGCCGUCCAUCUCUAUUCAGAAAUUGUUUCAUCUAGGACCUUUUAUUUACAAAGUCAACCAUGAAGUCUCGGAUAUUGUAAACCGCUGUACAAACCUCACUGAAUUUUAUAAAUUAAAAAUCAGAAAAUUGUUUUAAGUGUUAAAAUAAUUCAAUAAAGAUUAGAAAAUUCAUAAGUUAUCUGUUUUAACUCUGAUUUAGUGGUUCUUGAAUCUACAAUGUCGUAGCGACGCGUAGAAUAUUCUUACGCACUUUGUUCCCAUAUUUUGGUGUAAUGUUAUUAUAUUCAUUAUUUGUUUAUUUGUAUGUAUUACUAUGAUUAGAAGCGAGGUCACUAGGAAUCUAAUACCCCAACUUGGAAAAAUACCUGGAGUUGCACAAAAAUGCAAGUUGUGCCCUUGAUCACUUUUCUUUACCUAAUAAUGUUCUCGAUAAUCACCGUGACAUGCUCAGGUUAACUUGAUGGGACCUAAUAGGUUAACCUGGUUUUGAUUACGCUACACCUUGCAUACAAAUGAAAUUUUGGGUAGUUUUGCUAUAGUCUACCUGAUUUUGGGCUUAAUGUUAUAUAUGAAUUAUGAUCAUGAUUUAUCAUUGUUGUUUGAUUAUUUAUUAUUGAUGAUAAGAUUAUUUUGUUAAUUGGAACAUGGAGUUUAAUCUGGGAAAACAGUUCUACCACAAGGGUGGAAUGGGACGACCUUGGCCAAUUAAUUAGGAAAACUAGUGAGGGCUUACCUUUCCCUAAAGGGGCAAGCGGGGAGGUGUCGCUGCAGAGUAUAGUGUUGACUGUAAUUACUGCGAUGGGGUUACAGACAGUAAAAAAGGCCUAUGCUUCCUUCGUCCUGGCACCGUAGUAGGAUUUCCUGAACUAGUGAAACUUUGUAAAGGCCUCGCAGUGUACCCUCGCAACUCACCUUAGAAGUGUUUAAGGGUCCAAUCAACCCGAGGCAAAAUAGCGAACACGUCUUGUGGAUAAAGAUGUGUAACAUCUGCAGAGUGUAAAACUAGUAUAUCAGUCGUGCUCAUGGUCAAGAGCAGCUCAGGACUCUCGCAUGAUUAAUUUAUAGAAUUAAAUUUAAUCUGUCAUUUGCAUUAUAAUGUGGGAUUUAUUAUUAAUUAUGAUCUCUUACUUAAUUGGUUUGGUAUAUACAUACACUUAGUAAAUGCUAAUAAAAUUUUGACCAACCUAUUAAAAGCAAUGCUUAGUCUUAACCAUUUUUUUUGGUAAGCCUUACACUUCACAUGAGCCCCACCAUAAGUGAGCUCAUGCAUAUUAUACCCCACAACUUGUUGAGCGAUGAACGUAUGUGAGCUUACAUUUGCUAAACUCACACCAGGUCAAGAACAGGUAGCGCCACGAUGAGGAGCAUCACUACAGUAAACGGAACAACGUCCGACGACCAACACCGUCGGACAUAAGGUUCAAACCGUCGGAAAUAGGUAAUGUCCGACGGCAUUAACCUUUCUCCGACGGUUUUAAGCCGUCGGAGAUAAGGCGUCGGAAAUAGCCUAAUGUCCAACGGCCGCCGUCGGACAUAAGCUAUCUCCGACGGCCGCCUCUGCCCGUCGGAAAUAAUAAACACCAAUCGUUUUACCGGUCAGUCUGUGGGGCCCACAGGCUUAUGUCCGACGGUCCGGCGCUAGACCGUCAGACAUAACCAGGACUUAUGUUCGACGGUAUAUAAAACCGUCGGACAUAACCAGGUCUUAUGUCUGACGGCUACCACUAGGCCGUCGGACAUAAUAAAUUACAGAAUUUACACAAAAUUCUGUUUUUUUAAAAUCUGACAUUUACAAAACAAAAACAGAUUUCAUGCACAUAUACACAUUCACAUUCACAAUCACAAAUAUACACAUUCAAAUAAGUAUUCACAAUCACAAAUAUUCUCACAUAAAUAUUAACAUUCACAAAUUUAACAUCAACAUAUAGGUCCGACGGUUGUUGCAAACUGACAUUGUGUCUCACAAACAAGUGUUGCAAAGUGUUUCACAAAUUAACAUCACGACACAUCAAUCAUAUCCAUCGCCUGGAUGGUUCGAGUAGCCACCUCCUCCGGCUGGACUCUGCGUGUUGAAAAGGUUGUUCACCCACGAAUGUGUUGUGUCGUCUUGACCAGACCCAUCUCCAGGUGCGGCAACUGAAGCGGGUGGUGUCUGAAAUCCCUAUAACACAAGCACAUGAAAUAGUAACCACUCAGUUGUUCAUUUAAACACAUAAGACAUCUAUGAACAUGUCACACACGCAUAUGUGUACAUACCAUAGGGAAUUGUGACGGAGGCGGAGGUGGAGGUGCCAACAUUGGCAUUGGCAGUGCAAAGUCCGGAGGCGGCAUCCCAUAUGUUGGCAUCGGGACGCUCGCUUGUUGGGCUAGUUGCUACAAAUUAUAUACAAGUCAUUGUUGAGCAAAUAAGAUACACAUCAUGUGUUUUGCAAAAUAAGCUACAAAAUGUUACUUGAACUUACCGAGAGAAGAGCUUGAUUUUGGGCCUGGAGGCUUGCAUAAUACUCGUUCCUCUUCUUCUGGUACUCAGCUUGUUGUCUCUGGUAUUCAGAUUGUUGCCUCUGGUACUCCAAUUGUUCCCUCAAGACUGAUUGAUGGUACUCUGCCUGUUGACGCAACACUGCAAGCUCUAUCUCAUAGGCGGAUGAUCGUGAACGGGACGACUGUGAAGACGACGAUGUGGACUGUCGUCCACGGCGUCUCAGCUCUCUGGAAUCAAUCGUAGAAUCAAAAAUACCCAACCUACAAGAGUGAACCAUGCACUUAGUAUAGUAACUCAUGGCUCAGUUGAAUCGCAAGCAUAUGAUGACAAUUUUGAAAACCAAAUCAAAAUAAUCUCACCGUCCAUGAGCUUGUCCUCCUGCGCUAGCAUAUUAUGUGAGUCCAAUUAUGCUCGGUUCGAUAACCUUCAAAACGAUUUCCAUGUUCGUUUAUUUUCAAAUCAUUAAGUCUCGCGAGAAUCUCUGGACCACUUAGACGCUUGGGUGGUCCCCUCGUCACAAUCGUGUCCUUUUUAAAAGUGUUCAUAUCGAACCUGAACGGGUGAUCCUCUGGCAAAAAACAUCUAUGGCAAUCGAAGUAACAUAUCUUUCCACCAAACUUUAGUCGAAAGCAUAAAGUGUCUUCAAAGCAUAUCGGACAUGUCAAAAUCCCAUGACAACUCCAUCCAGCAAAGAUACCAUAAGCCAUAAAAUCAUGAAUAGACCAUAAAAACGCGGCUCUCAGGUUGAACUUCUGUUUCUUGUAACAAUCGUACGCCUCGACUCCUUCCCACAAAAUUUUCAAUUCUUCAAUCAGGGGUCUCAUCAUCACAUCGAUCUUUGUUCCAGGAUGAUCCGGACCAGGUAUUACAAGACACAAGAAAAUAAAUUAAUAUUUCAUGCAAAGAGCUGGUGGAAGGUUGUAUGGAACAACAAAGACGGGCCAACAUGAGUAGGACGUUGCAGUUAGAUUGAAUGGCGAGAAACCAUCUGUUGCCAAACCGAAGCGGACAUUCUGCACUACAUCAGCAAAGCUGGAAUCAAAAGCAUCUAGUGCCUUCCAUGCAUCUGUAUCAGCUGGGUGCACCAUGACAUUUGGAUUCUCACGUACCCCUUCUUUGUGCCACCUCAUGUGUCUGGCUGUAUUCUUGGAGAUGAACAAACGUUUCAACCGAGGUAUAAGAGGCAUGUAAUGAAGCUGCUUACGUGCAAUCUUCGUAGUCACGGUCAAACCAUCGUCGUUUUCAACCUCAACGAAUCUACGCUCACCACAUACAGUACACUUCUUCUCACCCGCGGUCUCCUUCCAGAAAAGCAUACAAUUAUUUUCACAGACAUCGAUUUUUUCGUAGUCCAUACUGAGCCCAGAUAACAACUUUUUAGACUGAUACAUGUCCUUUGGCAUCUUGUGAUUCUCCGGAAGUACAUCACUGAUCAAGUUCAAAAGCUCCUUGUAACAGUUGUUUGAGAAUGCAAACUUAGACUUAAUAGCUAUAAGUCGAGUCACACAUACAAGGACGGACACUUUUGUGUGCUCAUGCAACGGCUCUUCGGCAGCUUUAAGGAGCUCGAAGAACUUCUGAACCUCAGGUGUAGCUGGAUCCUCAAACUCGGUGGGUUGACCGGGGUUCUCCGAAUCGACGGUUAGAAACUCAUGGCGUACAUCAUCAAGCAUCUCUUCCAUCCUAUCGUAGUCCUCCUCUUCAUGUGACUGAACUUCCGAUACAAUACGAGGAGGUGGGUCCUCACCGUGGUGCACCCACGCCUCAUAGCCUGGCAUAUAACCGUUCUUGCAAAGAUCUAUCGACAUAGUCCUCCUGUCAAGGAAAUAAAUGUUCCGACACUUGGUACAAGGGCACCUAACAUCGGUUCCAGUCUCUGACCGAGCAAACGCACGAUCGAGAAAAGCAUCUGUCUUGGCAACCCACUCACUUGAUAGAGCACCUCAUUUCUUCCAACCUUCAUACAUCCAUCGACGAUCAUCCUCCAUAUUAGAUACGAGAUGUUAACUUGAUUAGUUAUGAUUACUAAUGAACCAUACUAAUACAAUAUCACUACAGAAAAAUCAUUUCACGAGACCCUAAAUCAAAUAAAAUAACCUUAUUUCCGAGGGCUUAAUAAUUACCUUCGAAAAUUAUAAGUUUAAAUUAUAUAGCCACUAAUAAAUAAAUUAAAACAAGCUAAUUUAAUUGCAUAAUUAAAUCAAGCCGUAGGACAUAACAAAACUAAACAUGACUACUAGCAAACAAUAUAUAUGUAUACACAAAAUUAUACUAAAAAUUAUGAAAUCGUACUCACUUUGCCGGACGAUGAACCGGUGAAGCGAGCGCCAGCGGGGUUGGGGCGGGCGCCGGCGGGGUUGGGGCGGGCGCCGGCGGGGUCGGGGACGGGGGCAGACGCUUGGGCCGGCGCGCGCUGCGUCGGGGCGGCUUCGGUGGCGUCGGGAUGGUCACGGAGGUGGUCACGGGCUCGUGCUCGGGCGGAUGAGCGUUGGGGCGGGGCUGGAGGUCGCCGGGAGCUGCUUGGAUGGCGGCGGAGAGAGAUUGCGGCGGUGGCGGCGGCUCGUCAGCGGCGGCGGCGAUUUCUUCGCGACGGCGGCGGCUGCUGGACAUAUGUGCACGGAGAUGAAUGAAACGAUUCGGGCCGCCGCGCACCGGUUAAAAUCCUUUAGUUCCGACGGCCCACUAGAAGACCGUCGGACAUAAGCUUAUGUCCGACGGUCUACCUGACAGCCGUCGGACAUAAGCUUAUGUCCGACGGCCGCUCUGACAGCCCUCGGAGAUACCAUCGGAUAUAAGAAAGCCGUCGGACGUUUACAGUUUUACUGUAGUGCAUGAAGGAUGAUAUGAUGAGUUCGGGGAGAUCUACGAUGUCAUCUGCCAGUCAAUUAUGGUUGCGGAGGAUCGUUGUCUUCAUAUGAUGUAAUUAUUUAGUUAUUUUUAUAUAGAACUCUUAUUAAGAAAUAAAGAUGUGACAUUGAUUUUUAUACCAUGAGUAAUUAUAUGUGUGAGACUUGAUCCUAACACACAUUUGAGACGCGCUUGGAUUUGUACUUAAAUCCGGGUGUGACAAGUGCUUAGGGUUUUUAGGAUGAUCCAAUAGAUCUAUCAUGGGGCAUUGCAGUAUUUUUUUGUUUUUUAAACAACGUUUUUGAAGGAGGCAUCCACACCACCACUGCCUCCCUCUUCUAAAAGUGAUUAACAGAUACUAUAAUGCUUAGACAAGCAGGGUUCCCUUCAAUAAAAAUAGUAUUUGGCCCUAUAUAUGUAGUGCGUUGUGUAAUUUUAUGAGUCAAAACAAUCAAAGAAAAUUUUAAUGGAGAUGGAUCCCUACUAGCGUACGUAUCGUCUUGUAGCUAGAUGUUAAUUAAUAUAAUAAAUAUAUUAAAACUUGACACAAAACCCGUAAUUUCGGUUCUCAAAUACCCGAUGUCAAUUUCAAUUCUCACUUGUAAAAACCCAAACUAUCAAAAAACCAAAAAAAACAAUACCGUACGACUAUUUCUGAAGCCCUCUAACUUCAGACUACCUUUUGUGAUGGCACGGGCCUUGCACAUUUCAAUAUUGAUUCCCUAAUACUACUAACUAGCUCAUCAUGCAUCUGCUUCCAAUCUAAACUAGCUUAGCUGAAUUUGUCAAUAAACGGUGGAUUAUUCGUACGUAUACGUAGUAGUGGAAUACACUCAUUAUUAGGUGAUGAUCUGCAUGCAUGGACUGGAGAACCUGCAAUUGUUUAUAUUUACGGGAUAUUCAUAAGCAGUUUCAGUGGUCAACUUGCUGGAGAUCAAGGCCUAGCUCAGGCAAGUUACUUACGUUUAUUAGAAUGGUAAUAUUACAUUUUAUUUGGUCAGGUGAAAUUCAAGUUUUGCAAAGUCUGAUCAAGAAAUAAUUAAACUCGUUUUCAAAACAAAAAAAAAUCAAACCAUACUGUAUGCAAUAUGACUGUGUAUCAAUGGCGGUGACGGUGGCACCGAAAGAUGGUCACCAGGAAUUUUUCUUUUUGAUGUUGUGGAGCGGUUGCGACGAAGAGCAAGAGUUUCAACGAACUAAUGUGAAGAGAAUUUUGGUUAGUUGGUUGUUCGUUGCUAGUUUAUUAUAAUACAUUAUAGGAUAUCCAUUAGCUACCAUAUGGAAACAAAGAAAUAGAUUAAAUAAAGCGAUCGUCCAUGAUUACCCUGCCCAAAGUCAAGUCUUGGAGCUUAGCAAUCGUCGUGCAUGAGGAUGAUGAGGCCAUACAUGUGCUUGCUUCGAUGGAACACGGAUUUCCUUCGUUCUGAUCGAAUAAGGUUCUGACGCAAGGCAUAACGAAUGCACGACCUAUCGUCAGUUGCCGUUCUUCGCUCCGGCGGCUCCUCCUCCAGCAGUAGUAUUUAACAAGCACUGGCCUGCAGCCAACGCCACAUGCUUCUCAUCUCAUCCCACAAGCCCAGAACACACUGCACGGUUAUUCAUCUCCAUUGCCAUUCCACACAUCGACCGUCGUCGUCAUGAAAAUGAACAUGUCCCUGGUUCUGUGCGUAGCCUUCUCGGCGUGCCUGGCUUCCCUCGCCGCCGCGGGCUGGUCUCCCGGCACCGCCACGGCGCCACAUUCUACGGCGGAGCCGACGGCUCAGGCACCAUGGGUAAGCUAGCUAGCUCUGAAUACUUUUAGUACUCAUGCACAAGAGCUAUCUAUGCACACUAUAUAUAUUAACUCCAUUUGCGCACGACGGUUUGCAUAUGCAGGCGGCGCGUGCGGGUACGACAACCUGUACAACGCCGGGUACGGCGUGAACAACGCGGCGCUGAGCGCGACGCUGUUCAACGACGGCGCGUCGUGCGGGCAGUGCUACCUCAUCACCUGCGACACGUCGCGUCCGGGCGGCCAAUCCUGCAAACCCGGCAGCUCCAUCACGGUGUCCGCCACCAACCUGUGCCCGGCCAACUACGCGCUGCCCAACGGCGGGUGGUGCGGCCCGGGGCGGCCCCACUUCGACAUGUCGCAGCCGGCGUGGGAGCACAUCGGCAUCUACGGGGCCGGCGUCAUCCCGGUGCUGUACCAGCAGGUCAAGUGCUCGCGCUCCGGCGGCGUGCGCUUCAGCCUCGCCGGCUCGCAGUACUUCCUGCUCGUCAACGUCCAGAACCUCGGAGGCAGUGGCUCCGUGGGGGCUGCCUGGGUGAAGGGCGACAGAACGAACUGGAUCCAGAUGUCCAGGAACUGGGGCGCCAACUGGCAUGCGCUCGCCGGGCUCGUCGG
rnacentral:lncRNA from 1 species